AUUUUAAACAUAUUAAAGCAUUUUGUGUUAGAAUAUUUUUACUUUUGGCAAAUGUAAAAUGUUCAUUUUUUUUCAAGCAGAAUGACAAACUACUUGAGCACUGUUGAAACUAAUUUUUGUCUUUCCUAAAAUGGAGAGCAUUUAUUCACUGACAGAUUAUAAUGUGGGACCUCUUCUGGUAUGAGAGAUUCACAGUGAACAAGACAGAGGAGCUUUCUGUACUCACAGAUCUCAUAUUCUAUGGGAUGGAUGUUGAAAACAUCAAGUCAAAAGUGUGCGGUAAUUUGUGGAAGUCAAGAGGAUCAAUAAGAGAGACAAGUAUAGGCAGGAAAUUCUAUGAAGGAAGCAAAUUUAAAAUCAGGAAGUUACUUCAAUGGCCAUGGUUCUAACAGAAAUAGAUGAACAAUCUUAAUGGUCAACAAAAACAAAAUUAUAAUUAGUAGUCUGAGAGAUCAUAACGAUAUGCAUGUGUCAAGUAGACUGACAACACUAAAGGUGAAUCAGUACAAAGGAUCCAGGCAGAAGAUCUUGUGUACAGAAGCAUCUAGGAAGGCCACCAGAAAGAGCAUGUGUUAUAGUACCCACUCUGAAUACUGCUGGGAGACACAAACGUUUUUUUUGCCAUCCAACUCCAGAUUCCAUGCUGAACCACCAUUCUUUGAACAGAGUUCUUCCUUUGCAUAAAAUAUAACAUACUCAGUUAGGAGUGGUUACCGGCCGGGUGCGGUGGCUCACGCCUGUAAUCCCAGCACUUUGGGAGGCCAAGGUGGGCGGAUCACAAGGUCAGGAGAUCGAGACCAUCCUGGCUAACACGGUGAAACCCCGUCUCUAUUAAGAAUACAAAAACAAAUUAGCCAGGUGUGGUGGCUGGUGCCUUUAGUCCCAGCUACUAGGGAGGCUGGGGCAGCAGGAUGGCAUGAACCUGGGAGGAGAAACUUGCAGCAAGCCAAGAUCAUGCCACUGCACUCCAGCCUGGGCAACAGAGUGAGACUCCAUCUCAAAAAAAAAAAAAAAAAGGUGUUUACCAUGCUAUUUUGUUUGUUGUUUUCUUCUUUACCUAUCACAGAGGCUGGCACAUAGUAUGAAAUAUUGAAUAAUCACUAAUGAAUAAAUUAAGUUGAUGAUGCCUAAAAUUUCUCAGUUGCAAUCACGGUUCAGUCUCAUAUUUCUGAGACAAUAUUCCAGUACUCUUAAUUGGAAUCUUUGUGUAUUUCCAAAACCUCUGGGGAUUCCUCCACACCCCAUUCUCUUGCAUUACUUCUGCGGCAGUGGGGGGCUGUAGUGUUUGUGUCCAUUUUACUACUUAAAACAUAUGAAAGCUUAAUGUACUUUAACAUUCCUAGAGAUCUCAUCACAGAUUAAUUUGUAUACCAAUAGGCAACAGUACUUUGUCCAAAUCAUUAUUUUACAUUUUAUCUAUAUUAGUAUUUUGUCCAAGAUUAUUAUUAACUUUUGGUAUCAAGCCUAUUUGUGGUCAUGAUGUUUUAAAAACUAGCAUGCAUAAGAAUUUGGAGGUGCUAUAUGCUAUACCACCAGUUUCUAUUAGAAAUACAGAAAACAGACAGGGUACUGAACCAUCAUUACUUUUCCAUCUAUCACAUAUUCCCAUCGAUGACUAAUUAGCAGAACAAUGUGAGAGAAGUAUUGAAUCAUGAACCUAUGGCUCUUUGCUGGCCAUCUCCCUUCUGUUAAUGUAAGUUAUUUUAGGCCUAAGUAUGUAAUAACUUAGAGUCUUGAUAGUUGCAAUGCAGGAAAAACAUAUGAGUAUUGAUUAUGAACAAAACAGAGAAAUUCAGAUUCGAUGCACUCAGCUUCCAUACUUAUUCCUCUUUUUUCAUCCCUGUGGUGCACACACAGCUUGAUCUCCCUAAACCUCUUGAAUAAUCCUUGCUGAUGUUAAUAACCAAAAUGCUUAGCUAAAAAGGGCUAAAUCAGACCCCUCUCUGCCUUCUAGACUCCAAGGAAGUAACUUAAGGAGAAUAUGGUGAAUGGGCAGCCAUCCCUUUCCUCUUUCUCCCCAAGUUGCCUUUUGGAGAGUCUAACAAAAACUAUGGCACAAGAUACUAGAAAGAGAUCGAUGAUCUGCUCCUCAGUCUUGUCUAAUAGUCAAAACUGAUAGCCUCUGUAAAUUAAAAUCCCACAGAUAACAUUAUUUUUAAGAAUUAAAAUACCUGCUGAGAAGUGAUACAGUGCUACAUACUUGGAGAGUAAGACCAUUUUGAAUGUUACAUUCACCAGUAAAUUAAGAAAAGCAAUUUCAAAGACUUAAGGGGAGUUCUCAUUAGAAAUGGUAUAUAUAAAAUUCUCCCACAGAAAUUCUUGUUAAAGGGAGUUGAGUUAUUUUAUGCUAGUUUCCGGAAAGGUUAAAGGAGUUGAAUCAAAUUUACUUCAUUGUUAAGGUAUUUUAAAUAUAAUAUAUAGGCCUUGAUUCUAACUAAAUUCACAGUGGUCUCCAGGAGUUGAAGAGGUUGUGAACUCAAGCACUACUCUCAGAGAAGCUGGCUGGCUUCUAGCACAAAAAGUCUUCUCCCACUUUGAGCCACACUACUGUGCAUUACUGACAUUUAAUCUCUUGGCUACCCUGGGACAUUGUGUAGAAACCCAAACACAACUAAUGAGGGCCCCAGCCAAUGCUGGCCACUAGACUAAAUGCAGGUGGGCUUUUUAACGGAUCUGUGAAUCAAAGCUGCCCCCUACAGAGGCUAUAGAAACUGAGACUCAAAAAACUUUUAGAGCUACCCAGGCAGAGGCAUUGGUCAUAUGUAUGCCUCGGGGCAGCCAAGAUGUAGUCAACCUUCAGGUAGGGUGUACUGACAGAGAUACACAGUGCUGAGGCCUGGGAUAUUUCUCUUUAGAAAGCACAAGAACCCUAACGGGGUGAGAGAAGGCACAUUUUGUUUUCUUAUUGCAUUGCAUCCUCACAGAUCAAUCAAAUUAAUGUCUUUUUCCCCAAGAGAAGAAUGUUUGGGCUAUUUUUCUGGCAACCAAAGACAAGUCACCUAGAGAUCCUGAAAGUCCUAAAACUCAAUAUUAGGGCUAGAACUUUUUCCUUUAGCAGCCAAACCUGAACAAGAACUUCUCUGUAUCCUGGGUUUGGUGAGCAAGGGCUAAGUAGAACCCCCACAUUUUGGAAUCUGCAUCUCAGAAGCAUGUUUCAGAAAACACAGCUACAAUUUGACCCCUAGGCAGGCAGCCCUGGGUGUAGAAAUUACUGGCAUUUGCAGGCUUCCUCUAGAAAACAAGGGUAGUGAGAGGCACUUAGUGCCCUUCCAGAAAUGCAGCUUCACACAUUGUCUCCAUUUCCACUACUAACUUGUGGACACCAAGUAACCAAAUAUUAUUUAAGACCAAGCAAGCAGAACUUAAUAGUCAUUCAUGUGGCUAGGUUAGAAUUUCAGCUGGGUGUGGUGGCAUGUUCCUGUACACCCAGCUACUUGGGAGGCUAAGGCGGGAGAAUCACUUGAGGCCAGGAGUUUGAGUCCAGCCUGAGCAACGCAGCCAAACCACAACUCUAAAAAAAUAAAUAUAUAAUAAAAAGUAAAACAGAAUUUAGCGACUAGGUUUAAAUUACAUGGACUAUAAUGCUUCAUAAUGAAAAUUAAAUCUAGAUUAUUAGUGGCUAAGGCAUUGUAGCAGAGAGCAAAAAAUGCAUUAUGAAGAAUGAAAUUAAAAGGGCCUUUACUACGUAUGUGAAAAUGCAUAAUUUUGAUGCAUUAAAAUAUAUUCAGAUAAAGACUUAAUGUUUUUAGUUAACAUUGACAUAUUUGCUUCAUCUAUCCUUUUUUCUUUCCUUUUCUCUUUAGCUCUCUAUUAUCUUAAAGCAAAUCCUUCAAAUAAUGCCAUUUUUCCUUUAAACAUUUAUAUAGUAUGACAAAAAUACAUUUUGUUACAUAAUUACAAUUAACACACCUACCAAAAUUGGUAAGAUCCCAUUAGUAUUAUUUAAUAUCAAAUGUUAUUCAAAUUUCUCCCAAUUAUCUUCAGAAAUGGCUUUUUAUGGUUGAUGUAUUAAAGUUGUGAUCAUAACAAAGUCCACACAUGUAUUUUGGUUUCUGGAAUUCUCUUUUAGUCAAGAACAACCCCCUUCCCAACCACCCAAUCACUUAUGCAAACCAUUGACUUAGAGAAAUUGGAUUGGUUGUCCUGAGAAUACCUCACAUUCUGAAUUUUUCUGAUUGCUUCUUCUUUUAUAGUUCAAUUUGUUUUAUAUAUAUAUAAAAUUUCAUAUAUAUUUUAUUAUAUUUAUACAUAUAUGUAUAUAUACAUGUAUAGAAUGAAAAUUGUAGUUAGAGCUAAGGGCUCUGUUAGGGUCAGAUUCAACUUCUUAGUAAAAAUACGUCAUUGGUGGUGCUGUGAAAUACAUAAAGCAUCAUAUCAGGAGAAAAAAUGCCUAGCUGUCUCCACGUACUGAUGUUAAGCCUAGCUGAGGAAAGCCUGGUCCUUCCAUUAUAAAGUUUCUUUCUCUUAAUGGCCUUAACAUUCAUUGAUGCUAGUGACUUAUUCAAUUGUUCAAUAGAAUUUCAAAAUGCAAUUUGCUAAUGCUGUCAUUCCUUCCAUACUUUACAGCUGAGGUUUUUCUAUAAGGAAUGUUCUCUCAUCAUCUGGGGCAUUUCUACCCUGAAACACAUAGUUCACAUAGG
rnacentral:lncRNA from 10 species